CAAGUGAUCUGCCCGCCUCGGCCUCCCAAAGUGUUGGGAUUAUAGGCAUGAGCUACCACACCUGGCUGCCCAUUUUCACAUAGAUGGAAGCAGAGCUCCCUCCCCGUGCUAAGCUGCAGCAUGCGCUCAAUGCCACUGCCACUCCCAGUCACGGGACACCAAGGAAUGUCCUUCUGGGCUCAGGGGGCCAACUGCUGAAGGGAGAAAGCACGAGGGGCAAAGUUCCCUGGCAGCGGGAGGGCUGUCCCCCACUCAGGGCACCAUGGCCCCAGCCCUGCUGGGGCAACCCAGAGAACCCUGAGGCAGGAGACAGGGAGAGUGGUGAGGCCUUCCCCUGCACAAGCAUCCAGAACUCCUGAGAGCUCUUCAGAGUAGGAAGGGAGGUGCCAGGUGACCUCGCCUGACCACAAAUGUGAGGAACCCGAGGCCUACAGAGGAAGAGUCCAGCCAGUCCACAAACACCCACUGGGCACCAGCCAGGUGCUGGGGACACUGGGAUGAAUGUGACCAGCUCUGAAGAGGCUCCUCAUCAGGUAAGCACCCACUUGGCUGGAGCUCAGACCCUCAAAAUCUGCCCCAGAAACUUCUCCAGCCCCGUCUGACCUCCUUUUCCUCCCUCUGCUCCCACAUCCACAGGCUCCUUACAGGGUCCUCAUGACACAGUGUCAUGUGCUGCCUCCUUUCACCUCUGCUCCAGCUGUUGGAAGAAUGCCCUUCCCAGCCACCUGGAGCCCAUCCACCCCCACUCCCCCAUCUCUUCUUCGCAGAGCCUCACUUAAGUGCCCCCCAACCCCAAGCUGAGACUGAUGGACCCCAGGAGGAAGCUCGCUCCCUUCUCCCCCUCCCCCCUCCUCCUCCUCCGGGCCUCCCCAUGCUCUUGACCUCCCUUGCAACAUCUGUGCACUCUGCCCAGGGUAAUGGGUCCUGGAAUUGCCUCACUCUCUGCCCCUCAGGACCUGGGACUAAGAAGGUACAGCUCCGCUGAAUUGAGUAAAUGUGUCACCCACCCAAAGCAACGACCCAGAGCAAUUAACAGAUCACUUCUUCCUUUUAAGGCAUGUAUUUAAGGCUUGUCUUUCUUUGAAAACCCUCGGAGGAAAGAGAUGCAGCACUGUGGGGGAAAAAUGAAAUGGAAGAGACUUAGAUUGUCUUGGCAUUUCCAAGUGCUGGCUCUGUUCCUGGCACACAGUAGAUGUCUGAGAUAUGUUCUUUUGGUGGAUGAAAGAAUAAAAAUAUCUCCACGGCCACUUGCCCCUGCUGCCUGAAGUUCCACCAUUAUCACUGAAUCUUUUCUGGGGCUAAAGAGUAUUCCCUGUGAUGCUCUCUCAAAAUGCAGUCCUGGGCCAGGAAACUAGCUCUGGCUGGGGGUUUCCUUGCACAAAACAGCAAGGUCAGGGUUUGCCCAUGAGAUCUUCUCACUGCAUUCUCAAGACGGUGUGUCCAGACCCUGCUCUUUGACCAAGGAGUUGCAUGUUCAAAUAAGCUUAGGAAAGGCUGGCUGCACACUCUGCCACCCAUUGGGGUCCCUAAUUCGUAUUAAUACAUUAAAGACCCUGAGAAGGCCUGUUUGGAUUUAUGUGACCUAGCGUUUCCCAAAUCUGUAUGCUCAUGCAUCCUUGAAUCCAUUCCCAUGCCACGGGACUAGGGCUCCUCAGGGGACAGUUUGGGGAGUGUGGACUAGAUAGUGCGCCUGGGUCCAGGCGGGACAAGGUCUGCAGGUUGAAGGGUGUCUGUGGCUGCCACCCAGCCAGGGCCAUGCUUCCCUGCACUGACCAUUUGACAGAGGCAAAAAGUCCAACCUCAGCCACCACCACCAAUAGCUCAUGACAGAGACAGAUAAUGAACAUGGCAUCAGACAGCCUCCAAACGUAGCGCAAAGGAGGGAGAAGGUAACAGAGUGGGCCAGAGACCUGAGUGAGUUCCAACUGUGACUUUGUGCUCACUGCUGGCCAUUGGGCGGGGGGACCCCAUCCUGCUAAGCUUUGUUUUCAUCAUCUGCAAAAUGGGGAUAAUGCUAUUCUCAGGGCUGUUGUGAAGAUUGAGGUAAUGCAAGCAGAGGCAGAUUACAAACUGUCAAGUCCUGUGCCAGCAUUUGCUGUGUGCAUCAUUAUUUUACUGCAUGCAUGGCCAGGAGGGUGUGGUAAUGUCUUGAUUGAUCACAAGCCACUGCAGAGGUCCUCAAUCAGGACAGAUGGAUGGAUGGAUACAUGGAUGCAUGGAAGAAUGCACAGACAGAAUCCCCAGUGUGACACAGGCUCACCAAUGGCUGACUGGUUGAAUAGGCUGUGGGACCUCAAGCCAGUCACCUCACCUGCCUGAGCCCGAGGUUUCUCACCUGCAAAAUGAGGGAUGAAAGCGGAUCUCAUGUGGGAAAGGAGCCACUCCAAGGAGAGACUCAAACAUGACUGCCCUUGAGCUGGGCACUGACAGGGCACAUCUGGACAGAGGAGGGGCUCAGUCUGCCUCUGCAGAGUCCCCAGCAAGAGGAAGAAGGCUCCAAUUGCAGCAGAGUGGACUUCAAUUAGUCUCAAGAAAGAACUUCCUGCAGAGGCAUUAAGCAUGAACAGCAUACAGAGAAGGGGGGCAUGAUGAGGGCAACUGUAGCAUCUCCUCUGAAAUACAGGAUGCUGUCUCAUUCAUUAUGUCAUUUUACUUUCAAACCAGCCUGGAAGACACGUUGGACAGUGAUACCUGGACUUGAGCAAGCCCUGAGAAUGACCUUGUAUGGCAGGCGCACCUCAAUGCAGUUUGGUUCUAAGCUAAGGAAUCUGGGAGUAGCCAACCCGGAGAUCCACUCCUUAUCUAUGAGGAACAUCUGAGCUCUUGGCCCAUCCUAUGGAACUUGCGGGCCAAACAGAGGAUUGAGGUCUGUGGUUUGGGGUAAAUGGAGGUUGCUAGGUGGAAGUUGUUGGGGGAGGUGCUAAGUGAAAAUGCUAUAGAAAUUGCAAGCUUUUAG
rnacentral:lncRNA from 1 species